rnacentral:tmRNA from 1 species
GGGGGCGCACUGGUUUCGACGGGGAUGGUUGAAGCCAAGGUUGCAGGUCGAGGUUGGUCGAUGGCCUCGUAAAAAUCGACCACACAAUAAAUGCUAACGAUGAUUACGCAUACGCAAUGGCUGCCUAGGUAGCCUAGCAACUUGACGACUUGAUCGUCACGAUUCACCGGCUGACGUCCUAUAAGACGGCUGAAUCGACACAUCAUAGGGCUAGUUUCAUGUGUCCGUUUGCCGCACAUGUUGCGAAACUCAUAGGCAAACUGGCUUUUCGGCUGUUUGGGCAGGGGCUACCCGAAAAGCGAGAUUUAUUCCUGUCCUAAGCCUGUAGACGCCUUGUGUGGAGCAUUCUCGGACGGGGGUUCGAUUCCCCCCGCCUCCACCA